rnacentral:rRNA from 1 species
UACGAAGGGGGCUAGCGUUGCUCGGAAUCACUGGGGCGUAAAGCGCACGUAGGCGGAUUCUUAAGUCGGUGGUGAAAUCCUGGAGCUCAACUCCAGAACUGCCUUCGAUACUGAGAGUCUCGAGUCCGGGAGAGGUGAGUGGAACUGCGAGUGUAGAGGUGAAAUUCGUAGAUAUUCGCAAGAACACCAGUGGCGAAGGCGGCUCACUGGCCCGGUACUGACGCUGAGGUGCGAAAGCGUGGGGAGCAAACAGG